rnacentral:rRNA from 1 species
UACGUAGGGGGCUAGCGUUGUCCGGAAUUACUGGGCUUAAAGGGUGCGUAGGCGGCGCAGUAAGUUGGGUGUGAAAUCCCUCGGCUUAACCGAGGAAUUGCGCCCAAAACUACUGUGCUCGAGGGAGAUAGAGGUGAGCGGAACUUAGGGUGGAGCGGUGAAAUGCGUUGAUAUCCUAAGGAACACCGGUGGCGAAAGCGGCUCACUGGAUCUCUUCUGACGCUGAGGCACGAAAGCUAGGGUAGCAAACGGG